AGUUCCCGGGUCCCUCGGCCACCGAAGCCACCCUGCCCUGGUGAAAGGGCUCCCGCACCGCCCGGUGCUCCCCAUCUGCCUGGCGUUGUGCGCAGAGCUGGAAAGCAUGGCUGUUAUAAAUGAAUUCUGAUUUUGGGGAGCAGAUGCCAACUUAGAGCCUCGUACCAAUCUCUCUGUCUUUAAAAGAUGAGGUGACUUGGUGAUUUUCCUGGAAAAUUAUAGGUAAUAUAUAAUCUAGCUUCCAUAUUUUACGGAUAUGUCUGGAGGUACCAGAGAGGUGCAUCUCUGCCUUUCCAUCCUAGGCCAGCCUGAACUGUCUUGUGGAAGCUGUACACUGUUCCUGCUGGGUUAUCGUUUGAUGAUCUUAAUAAGACUGAUAAAUUGAACUUGGGAGUGAAAACAGUAACACUUUAAGAAAUUUUGAAUUUUAAGGCUGAGGACUAGGCUCUGAUUUUUUUUCUAUCCUCACAGAAGCACUGAGGUGGACACUGCGGGUUGUGAGGUUCAGGAGGGGUAAGUGGCUGGCACAAGGUCACAGAGCAGCGCUGCCAUUUGGCUACUUUCCAAUUCAGCAUAGCUGCCCUCUCUGCUGGUGGUAU
rnacentral:lncRNA from 1 species